UAGGGAAUCUUCCACGAUGGACGAAAGUCUGAUGGAGCAACGCCGCGUGAGUGAAGAAGGUUUUCGGAUCGUAAAGCUCUGUUGUUGGUGAAGAAGGAUAGAGGCAGUAACUGGUCUUUAUUUGACGGUAAUCAACCAGAAAGUCACGGCUAACUACGUGCCAA
rnacentral:rRNA from 1 species